rfam:Capsella rubella cultivar Monte Gargano unplaced genomic scaffold scaffold_7, whole genome shotgun sequence.
AUACCUUUCUCGGCCUUUUGGCUAAGAUCAAGUGUAGUAUCUGUUCUUAUCAGUUUAAUAUCUGAUAUGUGAAUCAUCGAUCCACUCGAUAUUAACUCAAUUUUUUUUGGGAGUGAGCCAUCGAAAUAGCUUGCUGUUUGUGCUCACGUUCGUCGCCCAUGCGUUGCACUAUUGCAAGGGCUUGGCGUAUCCCAC